UACGUAGGGUGCGAGCGUUGCCCGGAUUUAUUGGGCGUAAAGGGCGCGUAGGCGGCCACGCACGUCCGUUGUGAAAUCGCCCGGCUCAACUGGGCGGGGUCAGCGGAUACGGUGUGGCUCGAGCAAGCUAGGGGGCAAUGGAAUUCCCGGUGUAGUGGUGGAAUGCGUAGAUAACGGGAGGAACACCAGUGGCGAAGGCGGUUGCCUGGAGCUUUGCUGACGCUGAGGCGCGAAAGCGUGGGGAGCGAUCCGG
rnacentral:rRNA from 1 species